rnacentral:rRNA from 1 species
UACGUAGGGGGCAAGCGUUAUCCGGAAUUACUGGGUGUAAAGGGAGCGUAGACGGUAAUGUAAGUCUGGAGUGAAAGGCGGGGGCCCAACCCCCGGACUGCUCUGGAAACUAUGUUACUAGAGUGCAGGAGAGGUAAGCGGAAUUCCUAGUGUAGCGGUGAAAUGCGUAGAUAUUAGGAGGAACACCAGUGGCGAAGGCGGCUUACUGGACUGUAACUGACGUUAAGGCUCGAAAGCGUGGGGAGCAAACAGG